CCAAUAGCGUAUAUUAAAGUUGUUGCAGUUAAAAAGCUCGUAGUUGAAUUUCGGGGUUCUACCGUUGGUCGGGCAAUAGUCUGUACUGGCGUGUAGAAUUUCUACCUUCUGGGGAACCAUCAUGUUAUUUAUUUAGCGUGGUGGGAAACCAGGACCUUUACCUUGAAAAAAUUAGAGUGUUCAAAGCAGGCUUACGUCUGAAUACAUUAGCCUGGAAUAAUAAAAUAGGACGGUGGUCCUGUUUUGUUGGUUUCUGAAUCACCGUAAUGAUUAAUAGGGAUAGUUGGGGGCAUUAGUAUUCAAUUGUCAGAGGUGAAAUUCUUGGAUUUAUUGAAGACUAACUUCUGCGAAAGCAUUUGCCAAGGAUGUUUUCAUUAAUCAAGAACGAAAGUUAGGGGAUCGAAGACGAUCAGAUACCGUCGUAGUCUUAACCAUAAACUAUGCCGACUAGGGAUCGGACGAUGUUAAUUUUUCUUGACUCGUUCGGCGCCUUACG
rnacentral:rRNA from 1 species